rnacentral:rRNA from 1 species
GACGAACUGCCCAAACGUUGUUCGGAAUCACUGGGCUUAAAGGGCGCGUAGGCGGCAUUCCAAGUCAGGGGUGAAAUCCGGCAGCUUAACUGUCGAAGUGCCUUUGAUACUGGAGUGCUCGAGGGAGGUAGGGGUCUGUGGAACUUCUGGUGGAGCGGUGAAAUGCGUUGAUAUCAGAAGGAACGCCGGUGGCGAAAGCGACGGACUGGACCUUUUCUGACGCUGAGGCGCGAAAGCUAGGGGAGCGAACGGG